GCCCGCUGCUAAUUCCCCAAGCAAAGGGAAGCGAGGGGAGAGUGCAGAGUCCCCGAACAGCGUUCGCAGCAACUGGCCUAGAGGGACCACUCAGGGCGCAAAGGCCCCCGCGAAAUAGAAUAUCCUUACGCCCAGCAACCCUCCCCUUGCGAGGCGCACGGGAUAACUUGGCUGGAACUCCCCGCUGACGGCUCCGCCUGGGACUGAGGGCUGUAGCCGCCCAGAGCCUCCUCCAGGGCGCCGACCGCGGCGCGGGCAGCAGGGAGACCCAGUGUGGCCGCGCCCGGGACCUCAGGGGACCAGGUGAGCCCGCGCCCGCGUCCGAGUGGGAUCCAGGUGAGCGUGCGCCCGAGUCCGCGGGGGACCAGGUGAGCCUGCGCCCGGGUCUGAGUGGAAUCAGCUUCCUCAUCUGGAUGCCUAGCAAGUCGGAUUCCCCAAGCAGAAGCCGGGCAGCCCACCUGGAAGAAGAAGCUGGGCAGGUGCUGCAGGUUGGGCUCACCAUGACACAGUGUGAGACCUCGGGCUACAACACAGGACCCGGGCGCUGCUCUGACCCCUCGUGUCUUGUGUUGCAGCCGGAGGGACGCAGGUCCGCAGCAGAGCCUGCUCCGUCGACCUGAGGGACUUGACAUAUGGGACUGCACAGAGACCAUGGGAAAGCCCAGGCUCUGGUGGGCAGGUGGGUGGAGUGUGGAAGAGAGGCCCACCCGGACCACUCCAGGUGUUGCCCCCUCUGUCCCCUCUCUUGUCCUAGCUCAGUCUCUCUGUACACGGCUCUGCCCACCCCUGGCCCAGUGCAGGUAGCUGGUGCCAGCUGCAGGGUGACACAGCCUACUUUGGGUCUGUGCUUUGAGGAUGCCCUCUGCUCGUCACCUCCACACCCCACCUCCACUCCCCAGGCCAGGUGACUGAGGCUCCACAGUGAGGUUGGGAGGGUAGCAAGGAAGGCAGUUGCUCCCCAAACAUCUCUCCCAUUGGUGGGAAGUCCACCACUGGACCUCCUCCCAGCAGAAAAAGCAUUGCAUUUUUAGGAGUUGUCUGUUAAAAUGUGAAUAUUUUCUGCAAAGUGGGAGAUUAAACCACUGCAGGCCUCAGCUGGCUUCAUUGAUGAUAUUUCUGCCAACAUGACAGAGACUCCAGAAGAAAAUGAAAUCAGAUCAUCAUCUUUAGUAGAGAAGAGGCCCCGACAGAGGACUCUAAAGCUGGAGGUGAGAGCUGUCAAAAGCAAGGUUCCUUCACCCAUGCAGGCUGUCACAGCACUGGGGUGGGAGCUUGGAUGCAAGGUCUGCCUGGUGACCCUGCCUUCACAGCUGAGGGCUAUGGGUCAAAUUUCUCCAAAGCCCCUGCCCCGGUGCAGCAUCCUUCAGUCAGAACCAGAUGAGCCCCUGGCCCCCAGGACUACCUUCGGGUUACUUUCCACACCAACCCUGCGUCCUAGAUAGAAAGCAUCCAUUUAUUCCCCUGCUUUUCACCAGCCUCAUGGUGUUCACAGUGCCUCCUCUUUUACAAAAAAUGGACUAGCUUUAAAAUGUAAUUAGUUCAGUGUUUUUCCUUCUCUCAAAUGAUCCGGAGGGGACUAGCAUAAAAUGACAGGCUGCAUUUAAGUGGAAACUGAGGGGAAAGCCAGGAAGUUGAGAGGAUUGAGAUGCAGGGAAGGCUCUGGGUCAUGUAGCAGGUUCCACUACAGAACAGAUGAGGUUAAGGCAGCCACGCUGCCUCGUGUGGGAAACCUGGAAACUGUCUUUGUGGUGUCCUGCUUCGUAAAGGCUGUCAGGAGCCAAACCAGACUGGGACAAGUGCAGAGCUGCAAGUCAGACAAAACUAGAGAAAGUAAAUUAGUGUGAACUAGAUAGGAAUCAUGGAGGCAAGCCAUGUUGUAUGAUUUUUAUUAUUAUGUUUUCAUGGAAAAGUUACUACUUGCUCUUCCCAAAGCCACUAGGUGGAGCUGAGCAAGAAGGGCCUCGAGGUAAGGAAUCUCAUGCUGGUCCAGGGCAGGUGGGUACGGAGUGGGCACUCCCAGAGUCGCUCACCAUGAGGAGUUGGAACUGAGCUGGGUGAGGGGGGCAUCUCUGUGGCAGGGGGCAUUGUCAGGAAAAUUGGUUACAGAGAGUAAUCAAAUAAGUAAAUAUAUUCAGGAAAAUAGAACCAGUGUGUCGCUGUCAAAGGAGAGAGCUUUCUAAUAUGGAAAGGGAAGACACCAGAAUGAACUGUGGUGUUGGUGUAAGGUUGGAGGUAUUAGUGUGAGCAUAUUGUUUUUAAUAGAGAUAGGUAUCAGAAGCAUACACACACACACACACACACCAUUCCCUACCUCUGUGCACUGAGAGGAGCCUGGGAGCUAUGAUAUCUAAUAAAUCUGAACACCUUGUGCCAGAUUUUGGUGUCUAAAUAUCAUUUCCAACUGAAAGGGCCCAGAGCCUUUUGGAGAAAUAGCUGAUUCCAGGACUGGGGCAGGAGAGAUACAAAAGGAACUCAGAUCAUCUUAUAAAAGAAAGUAAGAAAUCUCUUUAGAAAAUGAUGAAGACUUGUCCAAAGGACAAGAAAUUAGAUGAAGGAGCUCCCACUGGCCAUAUUUGGGAUUAUUUAAUCAUCAAAAUACAUAUGGCCACCUAUAAUCCCAGAACUUUGGGAGGUCAGGAGUUUGAGGCCAGCGUGGCCAACAUGGCAAAAUCCUGUCUCUAUUAAAAAUACAAAAAUUAGCUGGUGGCAGGUGCCUGUAAUCGCAGCUGUUUAUGAGGCUGAGGCAGGAGAACAUUUGAACCCAGGAGGUGGAUGUUGUAGUGAGCCGAGAUCAUGCCACUGCAUUCCAACCUGGGUGAUAGAGUGAGACUCCAACUCAAAAAAUAAAAACAACAAAAAUCCAUAUUGCUAGUAACAGAUGAUAACUGUUAUAAGGUAAAGUAGGAAAUCAUGGACCCGUGCUGACAUUUCAAAAGGAAUAAAUCAAAAGUUUGAUAAGCAAAAGGGUAUUUAUGUAAUCUCAAAAUAUAUCUCCACUAAUUACAAAGACAAGAAAGUGACUUAACUGCGGAAAAGCCUGACAGUUGUGUCCCAUUCAUUUGUUCUCUGUUUCUUUAAUUUUGUCAUUUUGAGAGUGUUAUAUAAAUGGAGUCAUACAGUACAUAAUCUUUUUAAGUUAGGCUUCUUCCACUUGAAAUAAUGUCCCUGAGACCAAUGCAAUAUGCAUCAUGUUUCAAUAGCUUGUUCCUUUUUAUUGCUGAAUAGUAUUCCGUUGUAGGGAUGUACUGCAGUUUAUCCAUGUACUCGUUUAGGACAUUUGGGCUGUUUGUAUAUUUUGGUUACUAUGAAUAAAGCUGCUAUGAACACUGAUGUAAAGUUUUAGUUUCCCUAGGAUAAAUGCCCAGGAGUGCAAGUACUGGGUUAAAUGUAAGUAUAUGUUAAUUUUAUAAGUAAUUGCCCUACUAUUUUC